CCUUAUCUUGUCCUUUCCUUACUCAAUAUGUGCAGCACGAUUUUUCCAGAUGGUGUGCAAGCUUGGAGGAAUUAUCCCCCUUGCACCAGGGCUAUUGCACAACUGCCAAUAAAACAUACCUUCUCUAUAUCCAUACACGCCAUAGGGUUUGAUUUUCCGUACGUCACCAGAAGGAAACUCGGUGCUGUUGAAGCCCUGACCAGUGACAAGGUCGGAGGUAACGCCUGCCGGCAGAUGUGGCCAACAAUUGAGGUGAGGAGGGAAUGAAACACGAUGGCUGAGCUGACGGCAGAGAGCUUCUGGGAAAAGCUUGCCAGCUCUGAAUUUGGUCCGAUGACCUUCUUGUGUGCGGAUGUCCAGCCCCGCUUUGCGGAGCAGCCUACGUUCCGCGAUGCGCCUAGUAGGCCUGGGGCUCGGAGCAGGCCAGGCGGAACCCAGUGUGCUUUGCUCUCAUUGGUCCGGUGCAGUUCCUCCCGCCCCCGGCCUCUCAUUGGUCCGGUGCAGCGCCGUCCCGCCCCCGGGCUCGCAUUGGCCAGCGGCAGCGCCACCGGCUCCGAUUGGCUGAGAUGCAGCGCGCGGGAGCGGCCGUUGGCCCCGAGCUCGGAGCCGCCGGGGUCUCCUCUCAGCCCACUCAGCACCGCCCUCCCCGGAGCUCUGCCCCUGACCCCUCCCCCACCUCCCGAGUAGAUCCCUGAGGGCUCUCCGUUCCCCCCCCUCCCGUCCUCUUCGCCCCCCGCUGCCCCUGGAGCUGCACUCGGGCUUCAGGCCGUGCGUGCGGGCUGCGUUGCCAUGGCAACACCGCGCACUCCCACCUUGCGGCGCGCGCAGCCGUCCCCGCGACGACGGCGCAUGCGUAACGGCGUCCCCAUGGCGACAGCGCCUGAGCGCGCACGCGCCGUCCCCGCCGAGAGACGUCAUCACGCUGCGACCCGAGGAGUUGGCCGUGCGGAAGUCGUGCCGUGUCCCGCACCGCUCCGACGCCGCCUCGGCUCCUCCAGGUCAAUUUUAUUGUCACUGUAACCGUGGAACCUGGGGCUGUACCAACGUACCUCGAGAGCCCCAUCAGCGUCCUCUAGCUCCUGGAUGCUGUCACCCUGGCUGUCCAUGAGUGUCCCACGCUGUCUCCCCUGCCAUGGUGGCACAAGUGCAGCGCAGUGCCAUCCUCUUUGAAGAGGUCAUCAAGAAAGUUCUUGAAGAAGACAGGCCCCAGCACCAACCCCUGGGGAACACCACUCGUGACCGGUCACCAGCUGGAUUUAACUCCAUUGACCACCACUCUCUGAGCCCGGCCCUCCAGCCAGCUCCUCACCCAGCCCAGAGUGUAGCCAUCCAAGCCUCAGGCUGCAGCUUCUGCAGGAGAAUACUGUGGGAGGCAGUGUCAAAGGCUUUGCUGAAGUCUAGGUAGACCACAUC